AGCUCCAAUAGCGUAUAUGAAAGUUGUUGCGGUUAAAAAGCUCGUACUUGGACUUCUGCCGAGGACGACCGGUCCGUCCUCCGGGUGAGUAUCUGGCUCGGCCUGGGCAUCUUCUUGGAGAACGUAGCUGCACUUGACUGUGUGGUGCGGUAUCCAGGACUUUUACUUUGAGGAAAUUAGAGUGUUUCAAGCAGGCACACGCCUUGAAUACAUCAGCAUGGAAUGAUAAGAUAGGACCUCGCUCCUAUUUUGUUGGUUUCUAGAGCUGAGGUAAUGAUUAAUAGGGAUAGUUGGGGGCAUUCGUAUUUAACUGUCAAAGGUGAAAUUCUUGGAUUUGUUAAAGACGGACUACUGCGAAAGCAUUUGCCAAGGAUGUUCUCA
rnacentral:rRNA from 1 species